UACGGGGGGGGCAAGCGUUGUUCGGAAUUACUGGGCGUAAAGGGCUCGUAGGCGGCCAACUAAGUCGGACGUGAAAUCCCUCGGCUUAACCGGGGAACUGCGUCCGAUACUGGAUGGCUUGAGUUUGGGAGAGGGAUGCGGAAUUCCAGGUGUAGCGGUGAAAUGCGUAGAUAUCUGGAGGAACACCGGUGGCGAAGGCGGCAUCCUGGACCGGUAUUGACGCUGAGGCGCGAAAGCCAGGGGAGCAAAGCGGG
rnacentral:rRNA from 1 species